UACGUAGGGGGCUAGCGUUGUCCGGAUUUAUUGGGCGUAAAGAGCGUGUAGGCGGCCAGGUAGGUCUGCUGUGAAAACUCGAGGCUCAACCUCGAGAUGUCGGCGGAAACCAUCUGGCUAGAGUCCGGAAGAGGAGAGUGGAAUUCCUGGUGUAGCGGUGAAAUGCGCAGAUAUCAGGAAGAACACCCGUGGCGAAGGCGGUUCUCUGGGCCUGUACUGACGCUGAGGAGCGAAAGCGUGGGGAGCGAACAGG
rnacentral:rRNA from 1 species